rnacentral:rRNA from 1 species
UACGUAGGUGGCAAGCGUUGUCCGGAAUUAUUGGGCGUAAAGGGCGCGUAGGCGGCAUCUUAAGUCAGAUGUGAAAACCCGGGGCUUAACCCCGGUAGUGCAUUUGAAACUGGGAAGCUAGAGUGCAGGAGAGGAAAGUGGAAUUCCUAGUGUAGCGGUGAAAUGCGUAGAUAUUAGGAGGAACACCAGUGGCGAAGGCGACUUUCUGGACUGUAACUGACGCUGAGGCGCGAAAGCGUGGGGAGCAAACAGG